GUCUCCGUGGCGCAACGGAUAGCGCGUCGGACUUCUAAUUCGAGGCUGUGGGUUCGAAUCCCACCGGAGAUG
rnacentral:tRNA from 1 species